CCUACGGGAGGCAGCAGUGAGGAAUAUUGGUCAAUGGACGGAAGUCUGAACCAGCCAUGCCGCGUGCAGGAAGACGGCUCUAUGAGUUGUAAACUGCUUUUGUACAAGGGUAAACCUGAAUACGUGUAUUCAGCUGAAAGUACUGUACGAAUAAGGAUCGGCUAACUCCGUGCCAGCAGCCGCGGUAAUACGGAGGAUACAAGCGUUAUCCGGAUUUAUUGGGUUUAAAGGGUGCGUAGGCGGAUUGAUAAGUUAGAGGUGAAAUGUCCGAGCUUAACUCGGGAACUGCCUCUAAUACUGUUGGUCUAGAGAGUAGAUGCGGUAGGCGGAAUGUAUGGUGUAGCGGUGAAAUGCUUAGAGAUCAUACAGAACACCGAUUGCGAAGGCAGCUUACCAGUCUAUAUCUGACGUUGAGGCACGAAAGCGUGGGGAGCAAACAGGAUUAGAUACCCCAGUAGUC
rnacentral:rRNA from 1 species